GUCUAACACAUGCAAUGUCGCGCCCCGAGGGGAGCGGCAGACGGGUGAGUNAACGCGUGGGAAUCUACCCAUCCUACGGAACAACUCCGGGAAACUGGAGCUAAUACCGUAUACGCCCUUUGGGGGAAAGAUUUAUCGGGGAUGGAUGAGCCCGCGUUGGAUUAGCUAGUUGGUGGGGUAAAGGCCUACCAAGGCGACGAUCCAUAGCUGGUCUGAGAGGAUGAUCAGCCACAUUGGGACUGAGACACGGCCCAAACUCCUACGGGAGGCAGCAGUGGGGAAUAUUGGACAAUGGGCGCAAGCCUGAUCCAGCCAUGCCGCGUGAGUGAUGAAGGCCUUAGGGUUGUAAAGCUCUUUCACCGGAGAAGAUAAUGACGGUAUCCGGAGAAGAAGCCCCGGCUAACUUCUGCCAGCAGCCGCGGUAAUACGAAGGGGGCUAGCGUUGUUCGGAAUUACUGGGCGUAAAGCGCACGUAGGCGGACAUUUAAGUCAGGGGUGAAAUCCCGGGGCUCAACCUCGGAACUGCCUUUGUACUGGGUGUCUUGAGUGUGGAAGAGGAAGUGGAAUUGC
rnacentral:rRNA from 1 species